GGUUAUUCAUACACUACACAAAGCUUUAUUUUGUGAGACCUGAUUUUUUUUGUUUUGAAGCAUAUUAGCUGCGAAAAUCCUUUUUGACUUGAGCGGCGGCCCAAAAUGGUUAAAGUUAAGUGCUCAGAACUACGCACGAAAGACAAGAAGGAGCUGACCAAACAGCUCGAAGAACUUAAAAAUGAGCUACUGAAUUUACGUGUGGCCAAAGUAA